rnacentral:rRNA from 1 species
UACGGAGGGGGCAAGCGUUAAUCGGAAUUACUGGGCGUAAAGCGCACGCAGGCGGUUUGCUAAGUUAGACGUGAAAGCCCCGGGCUUAACCGGGGAAGUGCGUCUGAUACUGGCAAGCUUGAGGCGCGGAGAGGGGGGUAGAAUUCCAGGUGUAGUGGUGAAAUGCGUAGAGAUCUGGAGGAAUACCAGUGGCGAAGGCGGCCCCCUGGAUGUAGACUGACGCUCAGGUGCGAAAGCGUGGGGAGCAAACAGG